GAUGAAGAACGUAGCGAAAUGCGAUAAGUAGUGUGAAUUGCAGAAUUCAGUGAAUCAUCGAAUCUUUGAACGCACAUUGCGCCCCUCGGUAUUCCGUGGGGCAUGCCUGUUCGAGCGUCAUUUAACCCCUCAAGCCUAGCUUGGUAUUGGGUGCUUGUCCCGCCUCUCGCGCGGCGACUCACCUCAAAGUCAUUGGCAGCCCGCAUCUCGCCGGCCGUGAGCGCAGCACAGACGCGCUCUUGGCAACGACGGAUCGGCUCUCCAAAAGCUUAUUUCAACCACUGACCUCGGAUCAGGUAGGGAUACCCGCUGAACUUAAGCAUAUCAUAGCGGAGGA
rnacentral:misc_RNA from 1 species